GUUAUAUUAGCUCAGCUGGGAGAGCGUGGAACCAUAUUCCGAGGUCAGAGGUUCGAAUCCUCUAUAUAAUA
rnacentral:tRNA from 1 species